rnacentral:rRNA from 1 species
UGAAUACGAGACGCUAAGGCGUCGAAGUAGUGUAUGUCAUACUUCCAAGAAAAGCUUGCACUGUCAUAGAUAAAAAACGCCUGUACCAUAACCGACACAGGUGGGUAGGUAGAGUAUACUAAGGGGCGCGAGAUAACUCUCUCUAAGGAACUCGGCAAAAUAACUCCGUAACUUCGGGAGAAGGAGUGCCUUAUUAUUAAGGCUGCAAUAACAAGAUCCAAGCAACUGUUUAUCAAAAACACAGGUCUCCGCUAAGUCGUAAGACGAUGUAUGGGGGCUGACGCCUGCCCAGUGCCAGAAGGUUAAAGAAGUUGGUUAGCAUUUGCGAAGCUGAUAACUGAAGCCCUGGUGAACGGCGGCCGUAACUAUAACGGUCCUAAGGUAGCGAAAUUCCUUGUCGGGUAAGUUCCGACCCGCACGAAAGGCGUAAUGAUUUGGAUACUGUCUCGGAGAGGGGCUCGGUGAAAUAGACUUGUCUGUGAAGAUGCGGACUACCUGCACCAGGACAGAAAGACCCUAUGAAGCUUUACUGUAACUUGAAAUUGAAAUUGGACUUUAUUCGCGCAGCAUAGGUGGGAGGCGUUGAUUAUAAUCUUGUGGGAUUAUUGGAGCCAUCAGUGAGAUACCACUCUUGUAAUGUUAGAUUUCUAACUUUGAAUCAUUAUCUGGUCAAAGAACAGUUUCAGGCGGGCAGUUUGACUGGGGCGGUCGCCUCCUAAACGGUAACGGAGGCGUACAAAGGUUUCCUCUGAACGGUUAGAAAUCGUAUCUAGAGUGUAAAGGCAUAAGGAAGCUUGACUGUGAGACCUACAAGUCGAGCAGGGACGAAAGUCGGUCUUAGUGAUCUGACGGUACUGAGUGGAAAGGCCGUCACUCAACGGAUAAAAGUUACUCUAGGAUAACAGGCUGAUCUCCCCCAAGAGUUCACAUCGACGGGGAGGUUUGGCACCUCGAUGUCGGCUCAUCGCAUCCUGGGGCGGUAGUACGUCCCAAGGGUUGGGCUGUUCGCCCAUGAAAGCGGUACGCGAGCUGGGUUCAGAACGUCGUGAGACAGUUCGGUCCAUAUCCGGUGUAGGCGUUAGAAUAUUGAGAGGAGCCUUCUUUAGUACGAGAGGACCGAGAAGGACAUACCUCUGGUGUACCAGUUAUCGUGCCAACGGUAAACGCUGGGUAGCUAUGUAUGGAGUGGAUAACCGCUGAAAGCAUCUAAGUGGGAAGCCCACCUCAAGAUAAG